GAGCCACCCAAGCUAAGCACUUAGCAAAUCAUCACUACUACUUAGGGCACCUGAAAAUGGAUGCUGGGAUCCCAGCGGACUCACAUCCUGUGCCAGAGCAGCGAGUUCUUUAACCACGGUGCCAUCACUCCAGCCCGAAUUAUUAUUACUUUUUAAAGGGCCCAUCGAUCUAAAACUUGUCCGAACAAGAGCUCUCAGGAAGCACCCGGGAAUCGAGCGUGUUCUCUUGCUCACGGACGGGUUUAGUAGCUGCUACGCCUACUUCCAAAAACUCCCGUGAGACCUGCCAGGAUGCCCUCCUCCUACGGGGAGGAUGGAAGGACCGGGCCUUGAGCCAAGGAAGCGCCAGCUGGGUAGGAAAUCCCCACCUGUGAUUACUGGGGUACUCAUUAAUCCAGGAUUGUUGGGAGAAAAAGAAGAAACCGAAGCUGGUUUGACACAGAAUUCUGCUUAGAAUCACAUGAGGUCCGCAGAUGCCAAAUCCUGUUAAAGAGUCUAGGGUAAAUCUGCAGCGUGCUCAGUUCCACCCACCCCCACGCCCACUCCCACACACCCACCCCCGCAUCGGAUGUAGCCAAAGCCGCAGCUUGGAGAGCUCAGCUCUGCCCCCCUGGGAUAAGGAAGAAGAGGGGGCAGGGACACCUAUGUCAGAGCAUGCAGGUGGGAGUCAGAGGACAACUCGAAGGGGUCCAUUCUCUCCUUCUGCCAUAGACUCUCAUUGGCCUGGAACUUACCAGAAAGCUUCAGGAGGCCACCUGCCGCCACCUCUGCAGCCUGUGGUUGCAAGCAUGAGCAACCACGUGUUUUUGUUUUAAAUACCAGUUUCGGAGAUUGAAUUGAAGACCUAAGGCUUGCCCACAAGCAUUUACCAACUGAACUGUCACCUACGACACCCUGCCUUUUAGAGACAAGGUCUUGCCAGGUAGCUCAGGUUGGCCUUUGACUUGCAGUAACCCUCCUGCCUCAGCUUCCUCCAGGUCAGAACCACAGGCUUGCACUACCCUUUUCUUUCUUUCCUUGCCAUUGCCUAGAUCCACUGGUGCAACUGUUAAUCAGUAUAUUUUUCUUACACAUUUUCUCCAGGUUGCCAAUGCAAGUCCCACCCCUCCUCUCAUUUGUAGGUAUUUUAGGCAUCCUACAAGCUUGCAUUCAGUUUUAGUUUGGGAGAAAAAUUUUUCCUGCUUGCUUCUCACUUGUGUUGAGAAAACACUGACUGAAAGGAACUUGAAUUUUAUUUGGCUUCCAGGUCACAGUUCAUCAUCGGGGGACACCAAGGCAAGAACUCAAGGCAAGAAGCUGCAGGCAGAGCCUGAAGCAGAAGCCAUGGAGGAACACUGCUUACUGACUUGGUUUCCAUGGCUCACCUAUGUUAUGUAGGCCAGACUCACCUGCCCACGGAGGGUUGAACCCUCCUCCUUUAAUUAGCAGUCAAGAAAAAUCACCCGAGAUUACCUAUAGUCCAUGCUGACGGAACCACUUCCUCAACUGAAGUUCCCUCUUCCCAGGUCUGUCUAGCUGAUGUCUGAAGCUGACAGAAAGCUUACCACAAAUGAGUGCUGUGUUUUUUUAUUGUACACGCUUCUGCUGCAUCCACUGAGGUAACCAUAUGAUUUUCCCUUUAUUACGUUAUUCUGGGAACUGAUCAUUUGUUUAAAAUACCAGUGGUGGCACAUGCCUUUAAUCUCAACACUUAGGAAGCUGGGGCAGGAAGACUGAUGAAAGUUCAAGGCCAGCCUAGGACACAUCAUGUGACCCUGACUCAAAAUAAAACAAACAAACAAAAAAGACUAUCCAACUGAGGUAACCCUUUUAGGGGAUAAAGGUCAUUCUGUCUUCCUAUACCAGUCGGGAAGUGUUCCCCCUGUUAGCAGUUCCUGGAAAAACAAAUAUUUACUGUCCUUGACUGUUCAGUGGUAUCCACUGCUAGGACUUGGCGUAUCAUUUCUAGGAAGAGAUGCAGAGGUGACAUUAUUUAGGUUUUGCUUGCUUUUAAUAGAUUGUAGGGUUUUUUAUUUUACUAGAUUGUAUUUUAACCUUCCAAUUUAUAAGCAUAAAAAUAUUCAUAGGCUCCUUGUUUAUGAUGCCUUCCGUGUGUGUGUGUGUGUGUGUGUGUGUGUGUGUGAAUG
rnacentral:sRNA from 1 species